rnacentral:rRNA from 1 species
GCACAAUGGGCGCAAGCCUGAUUGCAGCCAUGCCGCGUGUAUGAAGAAGGCCUUCGGGUUGUAAAGUACUUUCAGCAGUGAGGAAGGUGGAUAUGUUAAUAGCAUAUUCAUUUGACGUUUAGCUGCAGAAGAAGCACCGGCUAACUCCGUGCCAGCAGCCGCGGUAAUACGGAGGGUGCGAGCGUUAAUCGGAAUUACUGGGCGUAAAGCGCAUGCAGGUGGUUUGUUAAGUCAGAUGUGAAAGCCCGGGGCUCAACCUCGGAAUUUGCAUUUGAAACUGGCAAACUAGAGUACUGUAGAGGGGGUAGAAUUUCAGGUGUAGCGGUGAAAAUGCGUAGAGAUCUGAAGGAAUACCGGUGGCGAAGGCGGCCCCCUGGACAGAUACUGACACUCAGAUGCGAAAGCGUGGGGAGCAAACAGGAUUAGUUACCCUGGUAG